rnacentral:rRNA from 1 species
AUUGAACGCUGGCGGCAUGCCUUACACAUGCAAGUCGAACGGUAACGGGCCUUCGGGUGCCGACGAGUGGCGAACGGGUGAGUAAUACAUCGGAACGUGCACGAUCGUGGGGGAUAACGAGGCGAAAGCUUUGCUAAUACCGCAUACGAUCUACGGAUGAAAGCAGGGGACCGCAAGGCCUUGCGCGGACGGAGCGGCCGAUGGCAGAUUAGGUAGUUGGUGGGAUAAAAGCUUACCAAGCCGACGAUCUGUAGCUGGUCUGAGAGGAUGAUCAGCCACACUGGGACUGAGACACGGCCCAGACUCCUACGGGAGGCAGCAGUGGGGAAUUUUGGACAAUGGGCGCAAGCCUGAUCCAGCCAUGCCGCGUGCAGGAUGAAGGCCUUCGGGUUGUAAACUGCUUUUGUACGGAACGAAAAGCCUUCUUUUAAUACAGGAGGAUCAUGACGGUACCGUAAGAAUAAGCACCGGCUAACUACGUG